UAACAAUCAACAGUUGAAACAAUCAAAAGAAUAACAAUAAAUUUGAAAUCGAAAAAAAAAAUUCUUUUUUCGAUCAGGUGAUCGGUUACCAAGGAGAUUAUAAAUCUAAAGGGUCACAUGUCUUGGGUCACAUUUCUCCUCGCAAUUGUUAAUUGUUUCAUCUAAUUAGUUAAUUGGUCUUUUUGUUUUUCGAGUUAAUUUGUGUUUUUUAAUUGUUCCAAAUCAAUUGUGCUAACCCUUGAUUCGUAAUUGGUUAUGUUUCGUUUGAAUCUCAGCAAUAUAAUCUAAUCUCGAAGGAUACCCUCUGAUGAAAGUAGGAUGAUGGUGAUAAUGGUUUGGUUAAAUUUCUCUUCUAGAAGUGAAUUCUACUUAAUUUUAAAAUCAACAGCGAAAAGAAAAUAAAAACAAUGGCAACAUUUUGUUCUUGCAGAGAAAAGAAAUUAGUUUAUACAUAUAAAUGUGAUUCUGAAGAUUUUCCAAAUUUCUCUUGAAAACCAUCAAUCCCCACAAACACCAAGAGAUGAUGGCGAUAAAGAAGAUACCUCAAUAUGAUUAUGGAAUGAUCAUUAUAUUAAACGAGAGAAUGGCGGAUGACAAGGCAAAACUAAUGGAAAAUAAAUCUUGAUCGAAAAAUGAAUUUUACGAUUUUUCAAUUUCUUUUCCUUCUAUUUUUCCAUCAUCAUCAUCAUCUCAUACAAAUUACCUUCUUCAACAUAUUAAAUCCAACCGAGGAUGCGGAGGAGGAUUACACGGAAAUAGUUUACAGCAUAAUGUUCACCUACAACUUUUAAUAUAAAUCAUAUAAGUGUAACAAUAAUUUUCCACAUUCAUUAUGAUACAAAUGAUGAAAGUUUUUCACGACAAAUAAUCAACAGCUGAUGAUGGAUUUUAAAUUGUUACUUACAUGGGAUUGCCAUUGUUGAAUCAUUAGGAUCAGGAGUAUACUCUUCAUCUGUCAAAUAAUCAAUAUGAGUACAGUUCAUGGUUCCAAUGCCAGCUAAUCAACAGGAUGACAAUUAGACAAUUGGAUAAUCAUUAGAAAUGUGUAAAGAUAAUUGGAGUAAAAUCGUAAUUUUAAUUAACUUUUUUUCCCAAUGGUGAUGAUGAUUAUGGUGGUGAUGCCUUUCCAAGUCAAUAUGUUCAUUAUCAUGUUCAUUAUCAUAAUGGAAGACUUUUCAUCCUUGCAUGGAUUUUAAUCUCAAUCUUCUUAGAUCUCUAUCAUCAUCCUCUCAUCUUCUUCUUCUGUCAUCUAAUGUCUUCAUUCCUCCUUUUGUGAUGAGAAGCAAAAAAAAAUCCUAACUGUCAACGGCAACUUCCGUCUUGCUCAUCUUCAUCUUCUUGUUUCAAUUCUAAGUCACUUCUCUUGCUGAUAUCUUUUCUCAAUUCUCAAACCUAAAGAAUCCAAAGGCCAGAGACUGUAAAUUUGGAUAGAUGUUCAACCGCAGCGGACAUAUUGUAUUUCUUAAAUUCAGGAUUAUUCAUUAGCUCUUCCGAGUAUAACCAUUCAUUGGUAAAAAUAGCAAUGCUUUGGGCGAACAAGGA